CCUACGGGUGACAGCAGUCGAGAAUCAUUGACAAUGGUCGGAAGCCUGAUGCUGCGAAGCCGCGUGGGGGAAUGAAGGACAUAGGAUUGUAAACCCCUGUCAUGUGGGAGCAAAGUAAAAAGAUAGUACCAGAAGAGGAAGAGACGGAGAACUCAGUGCGAGCAGCCGCGGUAAUACAGAGGUCUUAAGCGGUGUUCGGAAUCAGUGGGCGUAAAGGGUGCGGUGGCUGUUGUGUAAGUCCGGUGUGAAAGGCCCGGGCUCAACCCGCGGACCGCAGAUGAUACUGGGAGACUAGAGUAAGAGAGGGGGAACCGGAAUUCGCGGUGUAGCAGUGAAAUGCGUAGAUAUCGCGAGGAACACUCGUGGCGAAGGCGGGUUCCCGGACCUUCACUGACGCUGAGGCACGAAGGCCAGGGGAGCGAAAGGGAUUAGAUACCCGUGUAGUC
rnacentral:rRNA from 1 species